CUCGGCCGUGUUGGAGAAGGAACUGGGGGAAAGGAACGUUGGCUUUGACUCUCUAAAGUCCAGAGACUGAACCGUUACAUGGAGGAGGAAGGGGCGAAGUCCACAUGUUAUUUCUCCGACGCUCUGUUGUUCCGACCUCUCGUCGUAUGCGGACGAGUCCAGCCGGAGGAGUCCGCAUACGACCGAGAGGUCGGAACAGAGCGUUGAAUACCUUUCCACCAAUUCCUUCAACACCAUAGCCGAGAUAACUUCCACUGUGAGUCUUUACUUGUUGUAGAAGUACCAGAGAGUCGGGAGAACCCGGCGGCGCAAUGAAUGAAUAAAGACCGUAAACACGGAAGAAAAAAACUUUUAUUUUUAGGUGACAUGGAGAGACGUGAGCGUAACAGGUGUAUCAGUUCACACCGCCACCGUCGGAAUGUCUGAAUGUUUCUUUAUUAGAACAAGCACAACCACCAACACUCCCGGAGCAGUGAGCCCAGCGCAGCCUCCCGAAGCCCCGGCGGGAGGCUUGCCAGAUCGGGCCCGAUUUCCCGCCCUAGCGCGCUGCAGCUAGGGUUGCCAGAUUGGGCAGCGCGCUGCAGCUAGGAUUGCCAGAUUGAGCGGGAAAUCUGGGCCAAUCUGGCAACCCUGGCGCCGAGACGCUUUAGAAACGGCGUAAAACUAAGCGGCCGUGAGACGGGCGUAGAACGCUGCCGGUGUAAAUCAGUGCACAUUGUUUCCAGUUAGCUAGAAUUCUAGCCCAUGUUGAAAUUAGUGACAUUUUAAAACGUUCAUUUCUCAUCAUCAGGUAACGUCACCCUGACACGGUGACGCAGUGACGAUGAUUAUCAAGGUGAAGUACUUCAACUUGAAGAAAUAUGUAAAGAUAUCUGAGCCAUGUUUGGAAAUGUUCAUAACUGAAGUUCGGGUAAAGUUCUCCAUUCCUGAAGACAAGACCUUGACAGUGACCGAUGAUGGAGGAACUGAAGUCGAUGCUGAUGUGUUUCCAGAGUUGGUUACAAAGGACGUGUGCUUGGUCAUCCAUGAUUCUGAAGGAGUUGGUGAAGAAUGUUCUGCUGGAGAAGCCUGGUGGUGCAACAGUCCUGAAGGAGUACGAGGACACUGGGAAAAUAUGUGACAGUUCCAGACGGCAGAUGGUGAACAUUUUAGCAGCACACAUGACAGAAAAAGAGGGGAGCAUUUCUAUGAUGCCCAAAGUGGAUCAGGCUUCCUGGCUUGGAGACUCAAGACUAUUCAACGGAAGACCAAAUUUCAUCCCGAGUCAUCUAGUUCCCCUAAGGCUGCUGUUGUGAUGGGAGGUGGUCCAACACUCGUCAGGGACAACAGUCAAGAAGAUCAGCUUCAGGAUGAGCAAUGCAAAGAGGCCAUUUCCUUGAUGACUCAUACCAACGAGCGUGACACCAUCUUCCAGAAGAUGCAAGAAACCUUCCAUUUCCGGCAGGGGCUCAUCCACAAUCCUGAAACCUCGGCAUCAGUCCUGUCCAUGUUCCCAAGACUUUUGGACACAAAAGGAUUGGUUCUUCAAGACUUCAGCCUUCUCUUCGGAGCAGAAACAGCAGCCAGACUUCUGGAAAGGUGGCCCUCAUACAAACCAAAGUUGAUAAAAGAAGCCGCUGCCCUGGUACAGACCCCGUUAUUGCAACGCCUUUUACAAUCUGCCAGAGGGGAACAAGUGGAGUCAUCGGCAGAUUA